UAGCGAAGGGGGCUAGCGUUGCUCGGAAUCACUGGGCGUAAAGCGCACGUAGGCGGAUUGUUAAGUCAGGGGUGAAAUCCUGGAGCUCAACUCCAGAACUGCCUUUGAUACUGGCGAUCUCGAGUCCGGGAGAGGUGAGUGGAACUGCGAGUGUAGAGGUGAAAUUCGUAGAUAUUCGCAAGAACACCAGUGGCGAAGGCGGCUCACUGGCCCGGUACUGACGCUGAGGUGCGAAAGCGUGGGGAGCAAACAGG
rnacentral:rRNA from 1 species